CAGGAAGAGAAGCUUGGUUUAGCCUGCGUUUAUUUUUGUGAUUGGAGAGUGAAGGCAGUCGAGAUAUCACAGGGCGUUCAGAAAGUUUCAGAAAGGGAAGUAUUUGUGCUUUAUCACUUGACCCAGAAACUCCAGCCGAGUGCUAAUCUUUGAUGGAUUCUGCCCGCCUCAUAGGCGCACUAAUAAUAAAAAUGAGGCAGAUGGGGAGCGUUUCAACACAUGACACAUCAAAUCCGUCUCCUGAGAUGUGCCCAUGCCCGUCACAGCCCUGCCUGGGUGGCUUCGAAUGCCGAGCACGGGUCGGGGGCAGGGGAGAGUCACCAUUUCGACCAAGCGCCCAGGGGAUGCCACCUCGAUACCCUCUUUAAGAACAAGGAGCCGGAACCACAGAGCGGCACCGAGGGGCUCUUCCCCUGGAGGUCAACGGAGAGGACAAGGGGUACAGUGGGAAGUCCUUGGAUCUGAGCCUGGCUGACCUGGACCUGGGUCCGGCACCCCACCCCCACCCCACUGGUUGUGAGUUAGACAAGACACUUUGAUCACAGGGACACAGUGCCACCCAGACUGGUUUAAGCAAGAAAGGUGACGUUAUGGGAAGCGUAUCGGGGGUCUACUUUGAAGUCUGAAACCAGUUCUCAGACAGAAAUGUUGACUUGCCAAAGCCAGCGGAUUCCUCUUCUACGUGCAGAUGGCCCCAUGUGCCAGCAGCAUGCGGAAGCGGGGGGCUGGAGGGACCGGAGAGCCCAGGCUCAUGACCUUAACCUGGAUGGCAAAGCCGGCCGCCCAGAAGUGCCUGGAUGCUCUUAGAAGUCAGGAAGGAAACAUCGCAGCUAGCCCCACCUGUCUUUCUUCCACACACCGUAGCUACUUAGAGACUCGAUGUCCUCGAGUUUUGACUGGGACAUCUCCGAUCACCUCACAGCCCGCCCCCCACCCCAUCUCCAAAUAUCAGGAAGAAGCACCCUUUCCCUUUGCCGGAGUUUCCCAGGUCACUCUACAAACUGACCCCGUCCUUUCCAGAGUUCUGCAGACCACCUGGAGGGGCUGGCUUUGCCAAGUCCCGGCUCGCUUGUGCUAAGUGAGGUCACCAAGGACCUGCCCCGUGGUGACCUUUUGUUUUUGUCUCUCCAGAUAGCAGCUGGUAGAUUUUUCCAU